UGGAUUGGUCUUAGGCCCGAUUGUUUGGAUUUCAUGAAUAAAACUGACUUAAAACCGGAUCCAACAACUCCAAUUUGGAUUGGACGAUUCCUUAAAUACAACAUUCAAAAGAAGAAACCAAAACAAAACGUUCAAGGAGGUGCAAUCAAUGGAGGAGUCUGUUCGCGUCAAGCACAUCAAACGCAAAAACAUUAGGAAAAGAAGGGUUCAUGAAGAAGAAGACGAAGGCGAGGAUUCAAAAACCGAAUCUUGUUUGAUUUACAAUCAGAAAAGAUCCUAAAAUUUUGACGGAAAUUCAGUUUCAUCAUGAUAGCAGCGCAACGGCAGCUCUAGAAACUGAAAUUUGUAUAAAAAGGUAUAAUAGUGAUUAUAAAGCAAGCGAUAGCCUUCAUGGACCACAAAGGGCUUGUGCUCAUGUUAGGGUAACAUCUAGGGUUGAUUAUCAGCCUGAUAUAUGCAAACUGGUCGUUGUGGGUACAGAGAUGCAUGUAAGUGUAUGCAUGAUCGAGGUGAUCAGAGAUCUUGUUGGCGGAUGGAGAAUGAACGGAAUGAGGAAAAGAAGAUGAGACGGUGAAAUUUGGUUUAAUAGGCAUAUGAAUUAAUCUUUUUUUAUAUGUGAUACAUGCAUCUAUAAUUUUCUGUAGACUUUGUAAGAUUUUUGCUUCUCAUCGGUUCUUAUUUAAGAGGAAGUUUUUUUUUUUUUAUUGAUUCCUUAAUCCGUUUCUGCUAUUAAAUAUUAGUAAAUUCAUACAAUUAUAGAACAGUAGGCAUUUGUUAAGGGUGAGUCUAACUCUGUAGCUGUAGUUGUACAAUUGAAAAAAUAACGAAAUUUUUCUUGCAGCUAGAGAUAUUUGGUCUUUAUUUUGAUGUGUAUGUAGUGUUGAAUAACAGCUACAAAUACAGAUUUAAGAGUUAAAUUUGUUUAUAACAUUUACUUAUGUACAUCAACUCUCUUGAUUCUAGGUCAUAUUUAUACAUUGGUUAGAGACUUCACUUCACACAGUCAUUACUUUCUUGGCCACUAAUGUACUGCUCUCUAAAUUGUUUUCGUUGUUCCAUGAAUGCGGUGACGGUGAAGCGAGCAGAGGCCAGAUCAAACUUCUUUCUUUUCUUGCUUUGAGAACAAGAGCUUUUGUAUUUUGUCUUAGAACACUAUUCACAGCCUUCAAGUAGUUGCUUGAAUCAUGAUCUCUUAAGAUUGUACCUUCUGAACCAUAAGCUGAAGGAUCACUAAGAGUUUCCAAUGGGUGUGGACAGUUGAGGAAUGCAUUUAGUACGCUUGGAGAGUAGCCGUGUUGUUUCUUGUCUAACUCAUAGAGAGCACCACCAGCAGGGAGGAAAGGGUGUGGAGGAGAUGAUUUCUCGUCAGGUUGGAGGAUAAAUAUUUUACCAAGUGGAGUGUACAAGAGUUUCUGAAUAGAAAUACAAGAGAAAGUAAGAAUUUGAACAAGUCUCUGUUUACAGUAUUGAAAUAAUGGAAUGAAGCAUGAUAAAUUUGAUAAUUGGAGCCUCGCAUUGAAUGUCCGUUUCUACGGAUGCUAAGUUUUAAUGACCGAGUAAAUCAAUACUUACAUUCUUUAUUAGACAAGGGUGUGAUCUGAAGGAGCCAUUUAAACGUUUGAGGACUUGUGCAACAUGGUUGGGGUAGUUGCAGGAAAAAGCUCUUGGGACAAUAUCUCUAUGCAUCAUCACACAGUGAACAUGACUGUCAUCCAACCCCAAAUCCUUCAGUAUCUUUUGGCCUCCACAGAACACAAAUGGCGAGCCAAAAGUGACCACUGGUCGAAGAGUACAGGGUUUGACAACCUUCCUAGUCAGUAGCAUCAAGUUGACCAGAAGGGAGAGACUACCGCCAAGGGAAUGGCCUGUAAAUUGAAGCUUUGCACGUUCUCCAUGUUUGUUUAAGUGUUCUACUAUCUCUGGCAUAAACUGCUCAUAUAUUCCUUUUGCUGCUUCAUAAAUUCCUCUGUGAACAAGCACAUCUGUCCCCUGUGAUAACACAAUAAAUACAUAAUAUUUGUUUGUUCUCACGAGCUCUCAUGCUCUCUAGUUUGCCAGACAGAUAUACUCUAGAAGGUCCUAUUUAGGGCUGUCUGAAUUUGCAGUUAGUGCUCACCUCAAAUUUAGUAGGUUCAAAGAAUAGGUUUGCUUGCCAGGACGCCAGGGAGUCGGAUCCCUGCAUUUUGAAAAAUUUAACAUGUUAGGCGCCUCAAAGACUGCUUUCUUUCUUUAAGAUUUUAAAAAUUAUGCCCAAUGUGAACAAUUUUAUUGUAUAUUUGUUUCUAGAGCCUAGAGGAGCCAUUUUCUACAUGCUACAUACUGUCUCAUCUUGCAUAACAUGAGAUGGACAGUGAAUGAAAGAAUUACCUGAAUCACAAAGCAGCGAGUAUAUGUGCUAACAUCGUCACAAAUAAACCAUUCACAAGGUGAGGAAUGAAGUGAUUGAAGGGCUGUUGCUGCCUCCUGUUUUUCCUUCUCCCCUGCUGCCACCACUGCAGUCAUUGUUGAUGCUGCAACCACUGCAGCCACCUCUGAUUUAUAUACUCGGGGUGAGCUCUCUCCCUCCUCAUCUGGUUGAACCCCAUUUCUAUAUGAAUCUGAACAGUCACACUCCUCCUGAGAGCCACAAGAUGAAUAGCCUUUUGCACGUGAUUGGACAUAAGAUGCUGCUGAAGCAGCAAUCCCAUAGACAGAUGAGCGUACUGCAAGCCUCUGCUCAGAGUCCUUGGUUUCCUCCAGAUCGGAUUUGGUAAGAGAAACAACAGGUGGAAAACUACAGAGUUUUGUGCUUUCUUUGGAGUUUGGAUCAUACAAUGAAUGAGAAGAGAGAAGAGAGAAGAGAUUUCUUACACUGACUGAUAAGUAUGUUUUGCAUGUCAUAAUUUAGCAAAUCCAAAAGUAUGCCAAAUAUCUGAAUCUCGGUUAGGCAGUAAUGUGUUACAAUUAGCUAAUCAAUGCUUGAUUUUCAUAUGCAUAUAUAGGCACAAUUUCUAAAGAAAGCGGUUUCCAGAGAAAGGUGAAUUCUCUCUAUAAAUAGCCUGAGAUUUUGACUAUGCAGUCACUGAUUAGAUUUUGUGUGAUUUCAGUAUUUUUGAAUGUAAGAAGAGUAGAUAAUGGGUCUAAUAUUAAGGUAACUCGCACCUGAUACUUAUGAAAAUAAGAGACUGACUUAUAAAAGCUUCACUUGCGGAU